GGGGAUCCUCUAGAGAUUGGGGGCACGGGGGGCCUACGGGAGGCAGCAGUGGGGAAUUUUCCGCAAUGGGCGAAAGCCUGACGGAGUGACGCCGCGUGGGGGACGAAGGCCUUCGGGUCGUAAACCCCUGUCAGAGGGAAAGAAGGGUGCUGGCGUGAAUAGCGCCGGCAUCUGACGGUACCUUCAGAGGAAGCCCCGGCCAACUCUGUGCCAGCAGCCGCGGUAAUAAU
rnacentral:rRNA from 1 species